CCUACGGGGGGCUGCAGUGAGGAAUAUUGGUCAAUGGGCGGAAGCCUGAACCAGCCAAGUAGCGUGCAGGAUGACGGCCCUACGGGUUGUAAACUGCUUUUAUACGGGAAUAACGCGCCUUACGUGUAGGGCUUUGCAUGUACCGUAUGAAUAAGGACCGGCCAAUUCCGUUCCAGCAGCCGUGGUAAUACGGAAGGUCCGGGCGUUAUCCGGAUUUAUUGGGUGGAAAGGGCGCGACGGCCGUAUGUCAAGCGUGCUGUGAAAUGUCCGGGCUCAACCCGGGCCUUGCAGCGCGAACUGGGGUGCUUGAGUACGGGGAAGGGAAGCGGAAUUCGUCGUGUAGCGGUGAAAUGCUUAGAUAUGGCGAAGAACCCCGAUUGCGAAGGCAGCUUGCUGCAGCGGAACUGACGCUGAUGCUCGAAAGCGCGGGUAUCGAACAGGAUUAGAUACCCCAGUAGUC
rnacentral:rRNA from 1 species